CAGCCGCCGCGGGAAUACGGAGGGAGCUAGCGUUGUUCGGAAUCACUGGGCGUAAAGCGCACGUAGGCGGCUAUUCAAGUCUGGGGUGAAAGCCCGGGGCUCAACCCCGGAACUGCCUUUGAGACUAGAUAGCUUGAAUCUUGGAGAGGCGAGUGGAAUUCCGAGUGUAGAGGUGAAAUUCGUAGAUAUUCGGAAGAACACCAGUGGCGAAGGCGACUCGCUGGACAAGUAUUGACGCUGAGGUGCGAAAGCGUGGGGAGCAAACAGGAUUAGAGACCCCAGUAGUCCCUGUCUCUUAUAC
rnacentral:rRNA from 1 species